rnacentral:rRNA from 1 species
CAGCGCCACGAGUGGCAGUCGCGUUUAUUGGGCCUAAAGCGUCCGUAGCAGGUUUCGUAAAUCUCUUGUGAAAUUGCCAGGCUCAACUUGGCACUGUGCAGGAGACACUGCGAGACUCGAGACCGGGAAGGGUAAGAGGUAUUCCUGAGGGAGCGGUAAAAUGCUAUAAUCUCAGGAGGACCACCUGUGGCGAAGGCGUCUUACUAGAACGGAUCUGACUGUGAGGGACGAAAGCUAGGGGAGCAAACCGGAUUAGAGACCCGAGUAGUCC